AUUGAACGCUGGCGGCAGGCCUAACACAUGCAAGUAGCACGAGUGGCGGACGGGUGAGUAAUGUAUGGGAAACUGCCCGUUGGAGGGGGAUAACUACUGGAAACGGUCGCUACUACCGCAUACCAUCGGAUGUGCCCAGAUGGGCUUAGCUAGUAGGGGGGGUAACGGCGCACCUAGGCGACGAUCCCUAGCUGGUCUGAGAGGAUGACCAUCCAAACUGGAACGGAGACACGGGCCAGGCUCAUACGGGAGGCAGCAGUGGAGAAUAUUGCACAAUGGGCGCAAGCCUGAUGCAGCCAUGCCGUGUGGAUGAAGAAGGCCUUCGGGUUGUAAAGCACUUUCAGCGGGGAGGCGUUACCCGCAGAAGAAGCACCGGCUAACUCCGUGCCAGCAGCCGCGGUAAUUC
rnacentral:rRNA from 1 species